rnacentral:misc_RNA from 1 species
GAUGAAGAACGCAGCGAAAUGCGAUACGUAAUGUGAAUUGCAGAAUUCCGUGAAUCAUCGAAUCUUUGAACGCACAUUGCGCCCCCUGGCAUUCCGGGGGGCAUGCCUGUCCGAGCGUCAUUUCUGCCCUCCAGCCCGGCUGGGUGUUGGGCGCUGUCCCCCCGGGGACACGCCCCAAAGGCAGUGGCGGCGCCGCGUCGGGUCCUCGAGCGUAUGGGGCUUUGUCACCCGCUCGGGACGGACUCGUCGGCGCUGGUCUUCCUACAGGCGACCCUUCGGGGCUCGUCUUCCUUCGGUUGACCUCGGAUCAGGUAGGGUUACCCGCUGAACUUAAGCAUAUCAAUAAGCGGAGGA